CCUACGGGGGGCAGCAGUGGGGAAUAUUGCACAAUGGGCGCAAGCCUGAUGCAGCCAUGCCGCGUGUGUGAAGAAGGCCUUCGGGUUGUAGAGCACUUUCAGCGGGGAGGAAGGCGGUGAGGUUAAUAACCUCAUCGAUUGACGUUACCCGCAGAAGAAGCACCGGCUAACUCCGUGCCAGCAGCCGCGGUAAUACGGAGGGUGCAAGCGUUAAUCGGAAUUACUGGGCGUAAAGCGCACGCAGGCGGUCUGUCAAGUCGGAUGUGAAAUCCCCGGGCUCAACCUGGGAACUGCAUUCGAAACUGGCAGGCUAGAGUCUUGUAGAGGGGGGUAGAAUUCCAGGUGUAGCGGUGAAAUGCGUAGAGAUCUGGAGGAAUACCGGUGGCGAAGGCGGCCCCCUGGACAAAGACUGACGCUCAGGUGCGAAAGCGUGGGGAGCAAACAGGAUUAGAUACCCUAGUAGUC
rnacentral:rRNA from 1 species